rnacentral:rRNA from 1 species
CGCAUCUGUGCAUGCAGCAUAUCAAUAAGCGGAGGAAAAGAAACUAACAAGGAUUCCCUCAGUAACGGCGAGUGAAGCGGGAAGAGCUCAAAUUUGAAAUCUUGAAAGGUCACCUUUCACGAAUUGUAGUUUAAAGAAGUGUUUUCUGUUACGAUCGUAAUAUAAGUUCUUUGGAAUAGGACAUCACAGAGGGUGAGAAUCCCGUCUAUGAUUGCGAUUUGUAGCUUUGUGAUACACUUUCAAAGAGUCGGGUUGUUUGGGAAUGCAGCCCAAAACGGGAGGUAAAUUUCUUCUAAGGCUAAAUAUUGGCGAGAGACCGAUAGCGAACAAGUACCGUGAGGGAAAGAUGAAAAGAACUUUGAAAAGAGAGUUAAAUAGUACGUGAAAUUGUCAAAAGGGAAGCGUUUAACACCAGUGUUGUUUUCUGAAAAUCAACCUCUGUUAGCUUUAUGCAUGUUUGUUUAGACCUAAUCAGCUAUCUUGCAUGUUCUAUUGUUUGCAGUGGUGCACUUUUCAGUUUACAGGUCAACAUCAGUUUUUUUUACCGUAAAAAAGUUAAAGAAAGGUAGCUCAUGGCUCCGGUCGUGAGUGUUAUAGUCUUUUUCCUAUGCGGUAGGAGAGACUGAGGUCUGCAGUGUAGGCUAUUUGGCUAGAUACUCAGGUGCUAUGUGAUACCAUUUCAUAAACAGCUUGUUGAUUAUGUUUUGUCUAUUGCAUACUCGCUUGUACUAUCAUACCUACGCUUAGGAUGUUGACGAUCAGCUGAGCGCG